rnacentral:lncRNA from 1 species
UCCGCCGUUGUGUGCAGUCUCACACAACGGCGGAGUGGUGGCCAACAAGGGGCGUGAACUCCGCUCUCAGGGACAACGGCCGGAUAAACGCAUUGACGACGUGCGUCCUCUUGGAAUUAUUCCUCGAAUUGGUUAUCUACACUGAAAAAGAACAGGUUCUGGCAGGCUGCAUCUAUGACCUGCAUCCUCUGAGGACUAUUUCCGGUUCUUGGAUUGGUUAUCUACAUAAAAAGGUGAUUUUCU